AUUGAACGCUGGCGGCAUGCCUUACACAUGCAAGUCGAACGGCAGCGCGGACUUCGGUCUGGCGGCGAGUGGCGAACGGGUGAGUAAUACAUCGGAACGUACCCUGUUGUGGGGGAUAACUAGUCGAAAGAUUAGCUAAUACCGCAUACGACCUGAGGGUGAAAGUGGGGGACCGCAAGGCCUCACGCAGCAGGAGCGGCCGAUGUCUGAUUAGCUAGUUGGUGGGGUAAAGGCCCACCAAGGCGACGAUCAGUAGCUGGUCUGAGAGGACGAUCAGCAACACUGGGACUGAGACACGGGCCAGAUUCCUACGGGAGGCAGCAGUGGGGAAUUUUGGACAAUGGGGGCAACCCUGAUCCAGCAAUGCCGCGUGUGUGAAGAAGGCCUUCGGGUUGUAAAGCACUUUUGUCCGGAAAGAAAUCGCGCUGGUUAAUACCUGGCGUGGAUGACGGUACCGGAAGAAUAAGCACCGGCUAACUACGUGCCAGCAGCCGCAGUAA
rnacentral:rRNA from 1 species